UUUUCUUCAGUUCGGCUGGAUCGGUGACAGGUGCUGCAUGGCUGUCGUCAGCUCGUGUCGUGAGAUGUUGGGUUAAGUCCCGCAACGAGCGCAACCCUCGUCCUUAGUUGCCAUCAUUCAGUUGGGCACUCUAAGGAAACCGCCGGUGAUAAGCCGGAGGAAGGUGGGGAUGACGUCAAGUCCUCAUGGCCCUUACACGCUGGGCUACACACGUGCUACAAUGGCGGUGACAGUGGGCAGCAACCUCGCGAGAGGUAGCUAAUCUCCAAAAACCGUCUCAGUUCGGAUUGUUCUCUGCAACUCGAGAGCAUGAAGGCGGAAUCGCUAGUAAUCGCGGAUCAGCAUGCCGCGGUGAAUACGUUCCCAGGCCUUGUACACACCGCCCGUCACACCAUGGGAGUUGGUUUCACCCGAAGGCAGUGCUCUAACCCGCAAGGGAGGAAGCUGACCACGGUGGGAUCAGCGACUGGGGUGAAGUCGUAACAAGGUAGCCGUAGGGGAACCUGCGGCUGGAUCACCUCCUUU
rnacentral:rRNA from 1 species